rnacentral:rRNA from 1 species
UACGUAGGGGGCGAGCGUUGUCCGGAUUUAUUGGGCGUAAAGAGCUCGUAGGCGGUCUGUCGCGUCGGAUGUGAAAACCCAGGGCUCAACUCUGGGCCUGCAUUCGAUACGGGCAGACUAGAGGUAGGUAGGGGAGAAUGGAAUUCCCGGUGUAGCGGUGAAAUGCGCAGAUAUCGGGAGGAACACCGGUGGCGAAGGCGGUUCUCUGGGCCUUACCUGACGCUGAGGAGCGAAAGCGUGGGGAGCGAACAGG